AUUUUCUCCCGUUGAGUCUUGGUAUAUAUAUUCUUCCGGCGACGGCGAGUAAGGGUUCAGCUAGACAUACACAUCUUUUUCCAGCAACAGCGCGUCCUCUCACCACCAUGGCCUGCCGCCUCGCCCUCUCCAAGGCUGCAAGGCAUCUUGCCAAGGAUAGAUGGGCACACGUGAUCCACACUUCUUCUUCCCGGGAACCUGCUGCAGCCGCAACUAUUAGCACAGCGUCCUUAGCGCAAACCUACAAGCGAGAUGCCAGUCGAGCUCUGUCCGUCACAACGCGCGGGGCCUGCACUCUGGCGCUGCUUCUAGCACUAAUCCAGAGAGAGUUGUGCAGGCCUUCGAAAGCCAGAACUCCACUCCGGCUCUCUCUGAGUACAUCAAGGCCCUUGUCAGUCUCCAAACCCAAG